rnacentral:rRNA from 1 species
GACGAACGCUGGCGGCGUGCUUAACACAUGCAAGUCGAACGGAAAGGCCCUGCUUUUGUGGGGUGCUCGAGUGGCGAACGGGUGAGUAACACGUGAGUAACCUGCCCUUGACUUUGGGAUAACUUCAGGAAACUGGGGCUAAUACCGGAUAGGAGUUCCUGCUGCAUGGUGGGGGUGGGAAAGUUUCGGCGGUUGGGGAUGGACUCGCGGCUUAUCAGCGUGUUGGUGGGGUAGUGGCUUACCAAGGCUUUGACGGGUAGCCGGCCUGAGAGGGUGACCGGCCACAUUGGGACUGAGAUACGGCCCAGACUCCUACGGGAGGCAGCAGUGGGGAAUAUUGCACAAUGGGCGGAAGCCUGAUGCAGCAACGCCGCGUGCGGGAUGACGGCCUUCGGGUUGUAAACCGCUUUCGCCUGUGACGAAGCGUGAGUGACGGUAAUGGGUAAAGAAGCACCGGCUAACUACGUG